GAUGAAGAACGUAGCAAAAUACGAUAAGUAAUGUGAAUUGCAGAAUUCAGUGAAUCAUCGAAUCUUUGAACGCACAUUGCGCCCGCUGGUAUUCCGGCGGGCAUGCCUGUUCGAGCGUCAUUUCAACCCUCAAGCCCCCGGGUUUGGUGUUGGGGAUCGGCUCUGCCCUUCUGGGCGGUGCCGCCCCCGAAAUACAUUGGCGGUCUUGCUGCAGCCUCCAUUGCGUAGUAGCUAACACCUCGCAACUGGAACGCGGCGCGGCCAUGCCGUAAAACCCCAACUUCUGAAUGUUGACCUCGGAUCAGGUAGGAAUACCCGCUGAACUUAAGCAUAUCAAUAAGCGGAGGA
rnacentral:misc_RNA from 1 species